CUCAAGUUAGUGGUAUAUGUGUCAAUUUUUCAAUUUUGUUUUUAACCGCCUCCUUUUCUCGGCAAAGAAAUGUAGCAUUUAUAGGAAAAAAACUGUGAACGAAAGUUACGAAAUAAUAGAAUCCGAAUAAAAAAAUUAAAGUAGAAUGGUGAAAACGAAUUUUCUUCCCCUUUGUUUAGAGCAUCCCAGACCCAGAGAUCUGUUUUAAGAAAUAAUAGAAAGAAAGAAAUUGUCGGCUGAUCUUUUUUCUGGGAUAUUCGAUUUUCCCUUUUUCUGGUUGAUCGAUACAGGAGGGAAAGAUGAAUAUAUUUAGAUUAGCAGGGGACCUGACCCAUUUGGCGAGCGUCCUUGUUUUGCUCCUCAAGAUCCAUACAAUCAAAUCCUGUGCUGGUAUAUGCUUCCCGUUUCCAAAACUUUCAUAAAUUCGUGAAAUUAUGAACUUGUACGGUGCUGAAUCUUGAAUCGCAUUGGUUUUGUAAAUUGGGAAAGAUUCAUUUUGGGUAAUUUCAGUCAUGUUCUUUGAGUUGAUGUAACUGUUUUUUGGAAAAAAUUGUGUGGUAUUGCUUCUGUAUAUUGCAGCUACUAAAGGUAAAUUGUAUGGAUUUGUUUGGGCACUAAGAGCUGUUGCCUUAGCUAACUAAUUUAUUUAGGAUGAUUAUUGAUUUAUAUGAACUAAUUUGGUGUAAGAAAGAGCAGUGGGCAUAUAGUGAGAAAGAUGUCUAGUUAUAAGGUUGUUGAGCCUGCUGAGAAUCUUUAGGAGACUGAAAUUAAAGUGAAAUUUUCUAAAGCUGGAGUAGUUUCAUCACGGAUAUUUGGCACACAAUAAUUGUAUCGGCAGCCUUGAUACAGUUUCGAGAAAUCCGAGGUUUCAACGAAUUGGCAAAGGUUAUGUUUUUAUAUGUUUGUUUACUACAUGACCUUCAAAUCUCAGUCACAUUUGGCAUUUUAAUAACCAUAUCUUCUUCAUUUUUUUCCCUCCCUCUGAUUUCAGUUUUCUCCUCUUUUCCAAAAUUGUUUUUCAUUACCCUUAUAGGUCGUGGGUAUUCACUUUAUAAUCCAGUGAUUUACUUUUGAAUUAUCAUAUCACUUCUUGAAGUAAUAGAAUUACUGUUCUCUUUGUCAUUUUGAAUCCUAUAAAUUUGGAUCUGGUAUCAUUUUCUAUGUUGCUUAGCAAUUUGCUUGAGAUUUCCCA
rnacentral:lncRNA from 1 species